ACAGCAGCAGCCACGGUAAUACGGAGGGUGCAAGCGUUAAUCGGAAUUACUGGGCGUAAAGCGCACGCAGGCGGUCUGACAAGUCAGAUGUGAAAUCCCCGGGCUUAACCUGGGAACUGCAUUUGAAACUGUCAGGCUGGAGUCUUGUAGAGGGGGGUGGAAUUCCAGGUGUAGCGGUGAAAUGCGUAGAGAUCUGGAGGAAUACCGGUGGCGAAGGCGGCCCCCUGGACAAAGACUGACGCUCAGGUGCGAAAGCGUGGGGAGCAAACAGGAUUAGAUACCCGAGUAGUCCCUGUCUCUUAUAC
rnacentral:rRNA from 1 species